rnacentral:sRNA from 1 species
AAAAAAAAACUAAAAAAAC